CAGACCGCAGCUCGCGCGAUAAUGAGCAUAUUCACGGAAAUUUAUUCAGCGGCCCUCUAGCGGUCUCCGAAGGAAAACGUGCGAUCAAUUUGGCUUGAUUUUCCCACUGAAUUGGAGGGGCUGAAGUUAUAGCUCUGUACUGGUCGCUAACUUCAGUUUACGUCGAAACGAAUUGUGAUCUGCAUACUUGCUGACUCUGGUCUCUGCUUGCUACUUCAUUCUGGGAGAGUCCAUCAUGUACUAUAAUGGUCAGACCAUGAUUUCGACAAAGCCCUUAUUUCGUUUGCAAAUUUUGGACUGAUACAACAGAAAAUUUAUCUUUAUCGAUAUUGGAAACAAAAAAAUUAGAGCACAGUUUUGGGGAGGACUAAGAAUACUGACUUGGACAGGAAUACAGCUUGACAAAAAUAAAAAUUCACAAUUCAAAACCAAAGAACAUUUUUAAUGUUACUAAUAGUGCAUUGCAAGAAACUUUCUACUCAAAUCACACAUUCCAAAAUUAAGGGUAAGUCCUUUGAUUAAACACAAACAUGUAGUUGAUUUGCAAUUGAAAUUGAACAUAAGUUUCUUGCAAUGCCCCAUAAUCAUAUUUUGUUCUCAAGCAACUCUGUUAUAUGUUAUCUAAUGUGCUGAAGGUUAAGUGCCAUGUAUGUUCACAAUUUUUUUUUUCGAAGGUAUAAUAUAUUUGUCCUUUUAAACGGUA